AGCAGCAUGGCGCAGAUGGAAGCGCGCGGGGCCCAUAGCUUAUGUAAGCUUGGUACCCCGAGGUCACUCGAUCGAAACGAGUUGCUGCUA